UACGUAGGGUGCAAGCGUUGUCCGGAAUUAUUGGGCGUAAAGAGCUCGUAGGCGGUUUGUUGCGUCGAAUGUGAAAACCCGGGGCUCAACCCCGGGCCGCAUUCGAUACGGGCAGACUAGAGUUCGGUAGGGGAGUCUGGAAUUCCUGGUGUAGCGGUGAAAUGCGCAGAUAUCAGGAGGAACACCGAUGGCGAAGGCAGGUCUCUGG
rnacentral:rRNA from 1 species